GACGAACGCUGGCGGCGUGCCUAAUACAUGCAAGUCGAACGCAGUGGGGACGGUUGAGUAACACGUGGGUAACCUCCCAUCAGAGGGGAUAAACCUUGGCAACAGCUGCUAAUCCGAUACUGAUUGAUGCACCCGCGGUGCAUUAGCCAGUUGGUGAGGUAACGGCUAACCAAGGCCACGAUGCAUAGCGGACCGGAGAGGGUGAUCCGCCACACUGGGACUGAGAAACGGCCCAGACUCCUACGGGAGGCAGCAGUAGGGAAUCUUCGGCAAUGGACGAAAGUCUGACCGAGCAACGCCGCGUGAGUGAAGAAGGUUUGCGGGUCGGAAAGCUCUGUGGGUAGAGAAGCGGUAUCUAACCGGAAAGCAACGGCUAACUCCGUGCCAGCCGCCGCGGUAAUUC
rnacentral:rRNA from 1 species